UACAGAGGUCUCGAGCGUUGUUCGGAUUCAUUGGGCGUAAAGCGUGCGCAGGCGGUUUUGUAAGCCAGAUGUGAAAUCCCCGGGCUUAACCUGGGAAUGGCAUUUGGGACUGCAAGGCUCGAGUGCGGCAGAGGAGACUGGAAUUCCUGGUGUAGCAGUGAAAUGCGUAGAUAUCAGGAGGAACACCGAUGGCGAAGGCAGGUCUCUGGGCUGACACUGACGCUCAUGCACGAAAGCGUGGGGAGCAAACAGG
rnacentral:rRNA from 1 species